rnacentral:rRNA from 1 species
CCUACGGGUGGCAGCAGUGGGGAAUAUUGCACAAUGGUGGAAACCCUGAUGCAGCGACGCUGCGUGAGUGAAGAAGUAAUUCGUUAUGUAAAGCUCUAUCAGCAGGGAAGAAAAUGACGGUACCUGAGUAAGAAGCCCCGGCUAACUACGUGCCAGCAGCCGCGGUAAUACGUAGGGGGCAAGCGUUAUCCGGAUUUACUGGGUGUACAGGGAGCGUAGACGGCAGUGCAAGUCUGGAGUGAAAGGAGGGGGCUCAAACCCCGGACUGCUCUGGAAACUGUACGGCUGGAGUGCAGGAGAGGUAAGUGGAAUUCCUAGGGUAGCGGGGAAAUGCGUAGAGAGUAGGAGGAACACCAGGGGCGAAGGCGGUUUACUGGACUGUAACUGACGUUGAGGCUCGAAAGCGUGGGGAGCAAACAGGAUUAGAUACCCUUGUAGUC